GGGGCGGGAUGCGCUGGAGAGAGGGGGAGGGGUGGGGAAGCCCCGCUCGCCGACGGGCCGGGCAACCCCAACCGAGCGCUAAUAAAAUCGCCGCAGAGGCGCGGCCGCCUCGCGGGCUUCCUUCCUAGGGGGCGCUGCGGAGCGCGGGCGGAGACGCGCGCGCCAGGCCUCGGGACUCUUUUGCCCUCUCUGGGCGGAAGGAACGCUAUCGGCCAGCGGGAAGGGUCCUUGCCUAUCCGAGGCCUCAGAGUCCCGGGAGCGGCCCCCACCCCCUUUAAUCUUUUCUGAGGGGGGCGUCGCGGCAGCGCGGCCCUUUUGAGAUGCCGCGGAGGGUCGGCCGCCGGGUUUCAGGGCUCCCCCCGCCUGCGUCGAGGUGGGGAAGCGCGCUUGCUCGCGGUGGAGUCGGGCGGAGGAGCCGGGCGGCCUUGGGGACCCGAGGCCCGGGCGGCCGAAGGAGUGGGCCCGGUCCUUACCAUCUGGACGCGGCAUUUUGUGUGGUCUGCACCUCAGAACUGGGGCCUGAUUUCCUGGAGAGGCUGAGGCUGCCGAGAUGAGCUUCCAGUACCGAGCAAUGCAGCUGUAUAUCACCAAACAGUGUUUUGUUUUUAAAAACCCUUUUCCUCAGUCGGCCUUGUCUCACCUUUUCCUUUCUUUUGUUCGUUUUUUUCUGUUUCAUUACUUAGGGGAGUGGGCGUUGUCCGUGGUGAAAUAAAAACUGGGAAGGGAUCUUCGUCCAGUUGGCGCUUUCUCAGCGCGCUGACCUGUGGUCGAGGCUUGGAGCCGAGCUCUGGAGAGGGCAGAGGCCCCGAGCGGAGAUUUCUUUUAUAGAUCAAUACAGAAUGGAUCAAAUCGGAAAGAAGCCUCUCUGGCCAGAAAAAGAAGAAAUAACAUCCCUAAAGGAGGAACGUGUAAAUCAGGAAUUGAGCCAAGAAAAGCACGGGAGCCUCAGUGGAGAGAUUUGCAUUACUGUCACUCCAAUCCGUGUUACUUGAUGUGUAGUCCACAAACAAACUAGUCUCCUGACUGGUGCCAGUCCACAUGCUGUUCAUGACCAGAUCAUAGCCAUAAUGAGGGGAAGAAACCAUUAAUGAGAAAGGAGCAGAAGAAACAAAAGCAGAGAGGGAUUAACUGAUGGAGCAAGACUUUGGAGAUGGAGCAACAAGGACAAGAUGGCUGGAUUGGUCUUGACCAAGAGGUGGUACUCCUCAUCCUCUGAGGCUAGAGAAAGCUAAAAUGGAGAUACUUGUACAGCAAGUUUGCAGGAGUGGUGGUUGGACAUUUGGGGUAUUUCAUAAAGGCUCCUGUGAUAAUAGAAGCUGGAAAGUCCCAAGAUCUGGAGGGUGAGUUGGCAAGCUGGAGACCCAGGAAGAUGAACUUCUUCUCUGUCUCCAUAAUUCUUAAGAGGAAGAAUUAAUGAGAAUUGAAAGGAGAAGCUUCUGCUGGAAGAAUAGUGCUUGAGUUCCAGGCACUUCUGAACCAAUAGAAUAUGAAAAUGCCAGUGCCGAAACUAAUGCAGGAAACUGUGUGGAAGCUCCCCAUGAGACUAAAGAAGCCAAAAGAGACGUGUGGUAUCUCUCCUGAAAGAAUGAGAGCACAGCUUGAUGUCAAUAAAAAGAUUGCAACCCAUGGAGAAAAUAGUUAUUAAAAAUGUGUCCUCAAAGUAAGCGAGAGACAGAGACAGAGAUCAUUUGAAGAUGGAGUAAAAAGGAAAUGUUUGAAGUUAGCUAAUAGCAAUGAUAUCAUCUUCCAACUAGUUUAGAAUCAGAGCUUUUUCAGCAGCUAAAAAAAUGUACACAAAAAUCAGUUCACUAUCUAAUAAAGACCAAUUGACACACAUAAAGAGACAUCUUUCUUUUAAAUUACAUGUCAUCUUCUAUUUAUCAUCAUUAGUUACAUUUUCUUUAUUUCAUAUAGUGUUUAUGUUAGUUUGUAACACUUUGUUUUACCUGCCAGCAACUGAUAUUAGUAAUGAUUUAUAUUUAAAUUUUUGUAAUUUUUCAUUUUCCUUAAUGUAUGAUUUUAAAAUUUAAAAUGCAUCAAAUACCUAGUCUUACAUUUUAAUUUUAUGGAUUAAAAAGUUUCAAAAUAGAAAAUACUAGUACUUUAGUUACAAUUUGAAUCAAAUAUUCUAAUUCUCCUGUUAUUCCUGUCCUCUGGCGUUGUGAUGAUUUUUUCUUUAAGAUGCAGUUCUCUCAUAAGACCAUCUCUGAUUCCACCCCAGGGAAAUUGAGUUUAUUUCCCGUAGUAGACUGUGCAGACUUGGUGAUAACAAUCAGAACAUUUUACUGUAAUGAUGUAUUUGUCUCUCUCCUUUUAUUGUGUCACAAAAUCCUUGAAUAUUUAUAAAACAGGAAGCAAUUUUAUUAAUUAUAAUGGAAGAAUACUCCUUUCAGGCUUGCCAAGGGGUUUGUUUAGUGUGGGGAAGAACUUGAAAGCUGCACCAGCUCUGGAUAUUACAAUGAAAUUGAGUUGUGGACACUUCCAGGGACAGAUUGUGCUUCCUGAAGGUGCAGCCAGUCAGCUAGCUCUGCCGUAUUUCCCCUUAACUAUAACCAUGUCUAAAACUGAGGACCAUCUGUGCUUUGUAAUAAAAAGCUAAAGUCUUUAUGCCUUGAUAAUAA